rnacentral:rRNA from 1 species
UACGUAGGGUGCAAGCGUUGUCCGGAAUUAUUGGGCGUAAAGAGCUCGUAGGCGGUUUGUCGCGUCGAAUGUGAAAACCCGGGGCUCAACCCCGGGCCUGCAUUCGAUACGGGCAGACUAGAGUUCGGUAGGGGAGUCUGGAAUUCCUGGUGUAGCGGUGAAAUGCGCAGAUAUCAGGAGGAACACCGGUGGCGAAGGCAGGACUCUGGGCCGAUACUGACGCUGAGGAGCGAAAGCGUGGGGAGCAAACAGG